rfam:Candidatus Nomurabacteria bacterium CG1_02_43_90 cg1_0.2_scaffold_9414_c, whole genome shotgun sequence.
UAACAGGAAAUUUAAGAGCAUAUGGUGGAUGCCUUGGUUCUAAGAGGCGAUGAAAGACGUAGCAUGGUUGCGAUAAGCUUCGGGGAGGUGCCUAGCAACCUUUGAUCCGGAGAUUUCUGAAUGGGGAAACCCACUUACUGUAAUAGGUAAGGACUCUGUAUAAGAGAGCAUACCCAGGGAAGUGAAACAUCUCAGUACCUGGAGGAAAAUAAAAAAAGCCGCCGAAUGGCGGAACAUUUCCUGAGUAGCGGCGAGCGAAACGGAAAUAGCCCAAACCGCGCUACACACAGUUUAUAAAAUUUAUAAAUUUUGUAGUUUGUGUGUAGCGCGGGGUUGUAAGGCAAAGACGUCGUAUUUAUACGAGAAAAGUUACAAAAUGUAAUGUUAGUUGAACGCGCUGGAAAGCGCGGCCCUAGACGGUGAUAGCCCGGUAAACGAAAACAUUACGUCUUUUUUGUCUUUGUUCUUGAGUACUUCGAGACACGAAUAGCUCGGGGGAAUCUACCAGAACUAACUGGUAAGGCUAAAUACUCUUAGAAACCGAUAGUGAAC